ACGCUCGACACCUACGGGAGCAGCAGUGGGGAAUAUUGCACAAUGGGGGAAACCCUGAUGCAGCGACGCCGCGUGAGCGAAGAAGUAUUUCGGUAUGUAAAGCUCUAUCAGCAGGGAAGAAAAUGACGGUACCUGACUAAGAAGCCCCGGCUAACUACGUACCAGCAGCCGCGGUAAUCUGAGCGGGCUGGCAAGGC
rnacentral:rRNA from 1 species